AAAUCCAAUCAAGCCUGGCUUGGUAUUGGGCGUCGGGACACCCUCGCGCCCCAAUUUCGCCGGCUGGCCGUGGCCCGUCUUAGCGUCGUGACACACUUCUCGCUAGCGACGAGCGCGGACACGCCGUCAAAAUCUCGCGAAUUUCAAUCGAAAUUUGAUUA
rnacentral:misc_RNA from 1 species